rnacentral:rRNA from 1 species
AGCAGCCGCGGUAAUUCCAGCUCCAAUAGCGUAUAUUAAAGUUGUUGCAGUUAAAAGCUCGUAGUUGAAUUUCGGGGUCAGCAGGUUGGUCGUGCCAAUGGUAUGCACUGGCCUUGCUGAUUCCUACCUCUUGAUGAGCCGUAAUGCCAUUAAUUUGGUGUUGCGGGGAAUCAGGACUGUUACUUUGAAAAAUUAGAGUGUUUAAAGCAGGCAAGCGCUUGAAUACAUUAGCAUGGAAUAAUGAAAUAGGACGUUUGAUCCUAUUUUGUUGGUUUCUAGGAUUGACGUAAUGAUUAAUAGGGAUAGUUGGGGGCAUUAGUAUUCAAUUGUCAGAGGUGAAAAUUCUUGGAUUUAUUGAAGACUAACUACUGCGAAAGCAUUUGCCAAGGAUGUUUUCAUUAAUCAAGAACGAAAGUUAGGGGAUCGAAGACGAUCAGAUACCGCCGUAGU